UUUCCAAGCCAAAGCAAACCAUCCUGGCGGUCAGGGGCCAAGAUAACGGGAAGGCGGCCGGACGCACCAAUCAGCAGCGCCCAAGUCUCGUUAGCGCAGACCAGCCGCCCGUGGCCAGGCCGGGCAGCUGUUGAUCCCCGGGCCAUUCUUUUAAAGCCCAGUCAGAGCGCGGGUGGGAAGCGAGCGAGGAGGGCUGAGCCAGGGAGUGAAGGGGUGGAGGAGAAGGAAACCUGGGCUGUGUUUCUCAAAUGAACCUCUGCAGAACACAGGUUGCUUCAGAUGUUGCCUGUGUCUGUACAGCUCAAAAGCCAGCUCUCUCAUUGAUCUGUGCACUUGAGAGUGUAAGCCAGGACUGUAAGGACCAUCUGCUUCUUAUAUGAGAGGAGGGGAAACAAUCUGCCAUAUUAUGAGCAUCUUUAUGCAAAGGCCCAAGUGGCUAGAAAUGGAAGUCUCCUGCUAGUAACAUAGCUUAGAAGCAGAUCCUCCAGCCCAAGUCAAGCUUCUAGAUAAGUUCAACUUGCCAGUCAGCUUGACUGCAACCUCAUGAGAGAUCCUGAGCUAGAACCACCCAGGCAAAUUGUACACAGGUUCCUGACCCUAAGA